AUUGAACGCUGGCGGCAUGCCUUACACAUGCAAGUCGAACGGCAGCACGGGAGCAAUCUUGGUGGCGAGUGGCGAACGGGUGAGUAAUAUAUCGGACCGUGCUCUGUCGGGGGGGAUAACGCAGGGAAAGCUGUGCUAAUACCGCAUAUGUACUACGGGUCAACGCUGGGGAUCGCAAGACCUUGCGCGAUUGGAUCGGCCGAUAGCAGAUUAGCUAGUUGGUGAGGUAAAAGCCCACCAAGGCGACGAUCUGUAGCUGGUCUGAGAGGACGAGAAGCCACACUGGAACUGAGACACGGUCCAGACUCCUACGGGAGGCAGCAGUGGGGAAGUUUGGACAAUGGGCGCAAGCCUGACCCAGCAAUGCCGCGUGCAGGAUGAAGGCCUUCGGGUUGUAAACUGCUUUUGUACGGAACGAAACGGCGAGAUCUAAUACAGUUUGCUAAUGACGGUACCGUAAGAAUAAGCACCGGCUAACUACGUGCCAGCAGCCGCCGCUG
rnacentral:rRNA from 1 species